rnacentral:rRNA from 1 species
GACGAACGCUGGCGGCGUGCUUAACACAUGCAAGUCGAACGGAAAGGCCCUGCUUUUGUGGGGUGCUCGAGUGGCGAACGGGUGAGUAACACGUGAGUAACCUGCCCUUGACUUUGGGAUAACUUCAGGAAACUGGGGCUAAUACCGGAUAGGAGCUCCUGCUGCAUGGUGGGGGUUGGAAAGUUUCGGCGGUUGGGGAUGGACUCGCGGCUUAUCAGCUUGUUGGUGGGGUAGUGGCUUACCAAGGCUUUGACGGGUAGCCGGCCUGAGAGGGUGACCGGCCACGUUGGGACUGAGAUACGGCCCAGACUCCUACGGGAGGCAGCAGUGGGGAAUAUUGCACAAUGGGCGGAAGCCUGAUGCAGCAACGCCGCGUGCGGGAUGACGGCCUUCGGGUUGUAAACCGCUUUCGCCUGUGACGAAGCGUGAGUGACGGUAAUGGGUAAAGAAGCACCGGCUAACUACGUGCCAGCAGCCGCGGUGAUACGUAGGGUGCGAGCGUUGUCCGGAUUUAUUGGGCGUAAAGGGCUCGUAGGUGGUUGAUCGCGUCGGAAGUGUAAUCUUGGGGCUUAACCCUGAGCGUGCUUUCGAUACGGGUUGACUUGAGGAAGGUAGGGGAGAAUGGAAUUCCUGGUGGGGCGGUGGAAUGCGCAGAUAUCAGGAGGAACACCAGUGGCGAAGGCGGUUCUCUGGGCCUUUCCUGACGCUGAGGAGCGAAAGCGUGGGGAGCGAACAGGCUUAGAUACCCUGGUAGUCCACGCUGUAAACGGUGGGUACUAGGUGUGGGGUCCAUUCCACGGGUUCCGUGCCGUAGCUAACGCUUUAAGUACCCCGCCUGGGGAGUACGGCCGCAAGGCUAAAACUCAAAGGAAUUGACGGGGCCCCGCACAAGCGGCGGAGCAUGCGGAUUAAUUCGAUGCAACGCGUAGAACCUUACCUGGGUUUGACAUGGAUCGGGAGUGCUCAGAGAUGGGUGUGCCUCUUUUGGGGUCGGUUCACAGGUGGUGCAUGGCUGUCGUCAGCUCGUGUCGUGAGAUGUUGGGUUAAGUCCCGCAACGAGCGCAACCCUUGUUCACUGUUGCCAGCACGUUAUGGUGGGGACUCAGUGGAGACCGCCGGGGUCAACUCGGAGGAAGGUGGGGAUGACGUCAAGUCAUCAUGCCCCUUAUGUCCAGGGCUUCACGCAUGCUACAAUGGCUGGUACAGAGAGUGGCGAGCCUGUGAGGGUGAGCGAAUCUCGGAAAGCCGGUCUCAGUUCGGAUUGGGGUCUGCAACUCGACCUCAUGAAGUCGGAGUCGCUAGUAAUCGCAGAUCAGCAACGCUGCGGUGAAUACGUUCCCGGGGCU